rnacentral:snRNA from 1 species
GAGACUAUAUAACAUAUGUACUU